rnacentral:rRNA from 1 species
GAGCAGGAGGGCACUAGCCAGACAACCAGCAGGCAUCUUCCAGCAUUGGGGUGCAGAUGCCCUUGGCAGGCUUCGGCCAUCUGGCGUGUGAUUAACAAUCAACUUAGAACUGGUAUGGACAAGGGGAAUCUGACUGUCUAAUUAAAACAUAGCAUUGUGAUGGCCAGAAAAUGGGGUUGACACAAUGUGAUUUCUGCCCAGUGCUCUGAAUAUCAAAGUGAAGAAAUUCAACCAAGUGCAGGUAAAUGACAGGAGUAACUAUGACUCUCUUAAGAUAGCCAAAUGCCUUGUCAUCUAAUUAGUGAUGUGCAUGAAUGGAUUAAUAAGAUUCCCACUGUCCCUAUCUACUAUCUAGUGAAACCACAGCCAAGGGAAUGGGCUUGACAGAAUCAGCAGGGAAAGAAGACCCUGUUGAGCUUGACUCUAGUUUGACAUUGUGAAAAGACAUAUCAGGUGUAGAAUAGGUGGGAGCUUUGGUGCCAGUGAAAUACCACUACCUUUAUUGUUUUUUUACUUAUUCAAUGAAGCAGAACUGGGCUUUACUGCCCAAUUUCUAGUGUUAAAAUCCUUUGUGGGCUGAUCCAGAUUGAAGAUAUUAUCAGGUGGGGAGUUUGGCUGGGGUGGCACAUCUGUUAAACCAUAACACAGGUGUUCUAAGGGGGACUCAUGGAGAACAGAAAUCUCCAGUAGAACAAAAGAAUAAAAGUCCUCUUGAUUUUGAUUUUCAGUGUGAAUAUAAAUCAUGAAAGUGUGGCCUAUCAAUUCUUUAGUUCCUCAAAAUUUGAGGCUAGAGAUGCCAGAAAAGUUACCACAGGGAUAACUGGCUUGUGACAGUCAAGCAUUCAUAGCAAUAUUACUUUUUGAUUCUUUGAUAUCAGCUCUUCCUAUCAUACUGAAGCAGAAUUCAGUAAGUGUUGGAUUGUUCACCCACUAAUAGGGAACAUGAGCUGGAUUUAGACUGUCAUGAGACAGGUUAGUUUUACCCUACUGAUGAAGAUUGCCACAACAGUAAUUCAAUUUAGUAUGAGAGGAACUGUUGAUUCAGAUAAUUGAUUUUUGUGGCUGUCUGACAAGACAGUGCCACAACACUACCAUCUGCCAGAUUAUGGCUGAACAUCUCUAAGUCAGAAUCCAUGCUGGAACACAGUGAUGUUGCCCCACACAUUGU